rnacentral:misc_RNA from 1 species
AAAGUCGUAACAAGGUUUCCGUAGGUGAACCUGCGGAAGGAUCAUUAACACGUAUCCAACGUUAAACCCCCCUGUGAACCUUUACUCGUGACUCCCCCCUUCGUUGGAACCCGGCAAUUCCUGGUAAAUCAUCGCCGAACAGUUUUGAUUCAGGAACUUCUGGAGGAAGGGAAAUGAGCGCGGCGCAACAUGUGGUCUGGCAUUCCUCUGCUUGUUAGUGUCUGAAAGUGUCACUAGCUCUGUACGAAUGACGCAGUAACGAUCGCUGGAGGCCGACACGGCCGGCGACCGGGCCUCAGGGACUUGAUCCCCCUAAUCACCCCUUUGCAUGAAAACGGGCCUGCGCUUAAUUGUGCGGCCACCAAACUUGAACAACUGUUAACAAUGGAUAUCUUGGUUCUC